rnacentral:rRNA from 1 species
CAGUAGCCACGGUAAUACAGAGGGUGCGAGCGUUAAUCGGAUUUACUGGGCGUAAAGCGUGCGUAGGCGGCUUUUUAAGUCGGAUGUGAAAUCCCUGAGCUUAACUUAGGAAUUGCAUUCGAUACUGGGAAGCUAGAGUAUAAGAGAGGAUGGUAGAAUUCCAGGUGUAGCGGUGAAAUGCGUAGAGAUCUGGAGGAAUACCGAUGGCGAAGGCAGCCAUCUGGCCUAAUACUGACGCUGAGGUACGAAAGCAUGGGGAGCAAACAGGAUUAGAUACCCCAGUAGUCCCUGUCUCUUAUAC